CUCCUACGGGAGGCAGCAGUAGGGAAUCUUCCGUAAUGGACGAAAGUCUGACCGAGCAACGCCGCGUGAAUGAAGAAGGCUUUCGGGUCGUAAAAUUCUGUUAUAAGGGAAGAAAAGUUAGAGUAGGAAAUGGCUCUAAAGUGACGGUACCUUAUGAGAAAGCCACGGCUAACUACGUGCCAGCAGCCGCGGUAAUACGUAGGUGGCAAGCGUUAUCCGGAAUUAUUGGGCGUAAAGAGCGCGCAGGUGGUUGAUWAAGUCUGAUGUGAAAGCCCACGGCUUAACCGUGGAGGGUCAUUGGAAACUGGUCAACUUGAGUGCAGAAGAGGGAAGUGGAAUUCCAUGUGUAGCGGUGAAAUGCGUAGAGAUAUGGAGGAACACCAGUGGCGAGGGCGGCCCCCUGGACAAAGACUGACGCUCAGGUGCGAAAGCGUGGGGAGCAAACAGGAUUAGAUACCCUGGUAGUCCACGCUGUAAACGAUGUCGACUUGGAGGUUGUGCCCUUGAGGCGUGGCUUCCGGAGCUAACGCGUUAAGUCGACCGCCUGGGGAGUACGGCCGCAAGGUUAAAACUCAAAUGAAUUGACGGGGGCCCGCACAAGCGGUGGGGCAUGUGGUUUAAUUCGAUGCAACGCGAAGAACCUUACCUACUCUUGACAUCCAGAGAAUUCGCUAGAGAUAGCUUAGUGCCUUCGGGAACUCUGAGACAGGUGCUGCAUGGCUGUCGUCAGCUCGUGUUGUGAAAUGUUGGGUUAAGUCCCGCAACGAGCGCAACCCUUAUCCUUUGUUGCCAGCGCGUAAUGGCGGGAACUCAAAGGAGACUGCCGGUGAUAAACCGGAGGAAGGUGGGGAUGACGUCAAGUCAUCAUGGCCCUUACGAGUAGGGCUACACACGUGCUACAAUGGCGUAUACAAAGAGAAGCGAACUCGCGAGAGCAAGCGGACCUCAUAAAGUACGUCGUAGUCCGGAUCGGAGUCUGCAACUCGACUCCGUGAAGUCGGAAUCGCUAGUAAUCGUAGAUCAGAAUGCUACGGUGAAUACGUUCCCGGGCCUAGUACACACCGCCCGU
rnacentral:rRNA from 1 species